rnacentral:rRNA from 1 species
UACAUGGGGUGCAAACGUUGCUCGGAAUUAUUGGGCGUAAAGCGCACGUAGGCGGUUUGUUAAGUCGGAUGUGAAAUCCCUCGGCUCAACUGAGGAAGUGCACCCGAAACUGGCAGGCUUGAGUACUAAAGAGGGUCGCGGAAUUCCCGGUGUAGAGGUGAAAUUCGUAGAUAUCGGGAGGAACACCGGUGGCGAAGGCAGCUCGCUGGGACGGUACUGACGCUGAGGCGCGAAAGCGUGGGGAGCAAACAGG